rnacentral:rRNA from 1 species
GAUGAACGCUGGCGGCGUGCCUAAUACAUGCAAGUCGAGCGAACGGACGAGAAGCUUGCUUCUCUGAUGUUAGCGGCGGACGGGUGAGUAACACGUGGAUAACCUACCUAUAAGACUGGGAUAACUUCGGGAAACCGGAGCUAAUACCGGAUAAUAUUUUGAACCGCAUGGUUCAAAAGUGAAAGACGGUCUUGCUGUCACUUAUAGAUGGAUCCGCGCUGCAUUAGCUAGUUGGUAAGGUAACGGCUUACCAAGGCAACGAUGCAUAGACGACGUGAGAGAGUGAUAGGCCACACUGGAACUGAGACACGGUCCAGACUCCUACGGGAGGCAGCAGUAGGGAAUCUUCCGCAAUGGGCGAAAGCCUGACGGAGCAACGCCGCGUGAGUGAUGAAGGUCUUCGGAUCGUAAAACUCUGUUAUUAGGGAAGAACAUAUGUGUAAGUAACUGUGCACAUCUUGACGGUAACUAAUCAGAAAGCCACGGCUAACUACGUG